rnacentral:miRNA from 1 species
AAACAAGAAACAAAAAAAAA